UUGAGACACCUGUGACUUCUGGAGGAAACUACAAUCCCUCGGUCUUCCUGAAAACACCAUCCUAGCCACUAUGGAUGUAGAAGCCCUCUACACGAACAUUCCACACAAAGAUGUGCUACAAGCUGUCA